UGCAUUUUGACGAUUUAUUGGCUUGUAUUUCAAAAUGUGUACUAUGAAAAAUCUGAAAAUUUGUAUAGUAUUACAUAGAGAAAUUUUCUGAGAAUUACAACAAUUAUAAAAUAGAUGUUAUAAACCAUUUUAUGGUUUGUUGGAGCUGGAUUGCGAUGCUUAAAGAAGCUGCCGUGAGCAUGAGCGGGACGGGAAGCACUGUUUGGAACACCAUCCAUUUCUCUCGGAUAAAAUGCCUCAAAGAAACCUUCAGGUGGAAUAACUGAGGCGAUUUUUGUAUCGUUUGGAUCAUAAGCAACUACAAAGCGCGUUUUAACAGCAACAACAAG